AAAAAGGAGUAGAUGUAACUAAUUCAAUAAAAUUUUCUCACUUUUAUAUUGAUUCUUCUUCUUUUCCUUUUCUUCCAAGUUUUUGGUUUCAUCUAUUUAUUUAUUUUGUUAGAUGUUGAUUACCAAUUUUGUGGGACAUGUGGAUUUCUUCGAGAUAGCAGUUUAGGACGCUGUUUAGUUUACAAUUUGAUAUCUAACUGAAAUAGAUUUUGCGUGUAGGGGCUUGAACUCAUA
rnacentral:misc_RNA from 1 species